rnacentral:rRNA from 1 species
AUGGCCGGCACGGGCGACGACGCCGGGAUGGACGAGGUCCAGAGGCGCCUCAUGUUCGACGAUGAAUGCAUUUUGGUAGAUGAACAGGACAACGUUGUUGGCCAUGAAUCAAAAUAUACCUGCCAUCUGAUGGAGAAGAUUGAGUCUCUGAACCUGCUCCACAGGGCUUUCAGCGUAUUCCUUUUCAACUCAAAACAUGAGCUGCUACUUCAGCAAAGAUCUGCAACGAAGGUUACGUUUCCUUUAGUAUGGACCAACACCUGCUGCAGCCAUCCUCUGUACCGUGAAUCUGAGCUUAUUCAGGAAAACUUUCUUGGUGUCAGAAAUGCUGCUCAGAGGAAGCUCCUCGAUGAGCUGGGCAUCCCGGCUGAAGAUGUGCCUGUUGACCAGUUCACCCCUCUCGGUCGGAUGCUUUACAAGGCACCAUCUGAUGGGAAAUGGGGCGAACAUGAGCUGGACUACCUGCUGUUCAUCGUGCGCGACGUGAAGCUGGUCCCGAACCCGGACGAAGUGGCUGACGUGAAGUACGUGAGCCGGGAGCAACUGCGGGAGCUCAUCCAGCAGGCGGACACCGGCGAGGGCGGCGUGAAGCUGUCCCCCUGGUUCAGGCUGGUGGUGGACAACUUCCUCAUGGGCUGGUGGGAGCACUUGGAGAAAGGCACGCUCGCGGAGGCGGUGGACAUGGAAACCAUCCACAAGCUCAAGCUUUUGUUGUGCCAACGGGAGAUGUCUGUGGCAUUUAGCUUGCUCCGCUUUCCUGGUCCAAAAACAUCCACGGGCUGUCACAUGGAGGGCGUGCUACCCUGGAGCAAGGAAAGGAGAACCCAAGGCUGGCGGAAGAAAUUCAUGUGGUCUUCUUCCCAAUGA